UCAGACGAUGCGUCAUGCAUAUCAAUAAGCGGAGGAAAAGAAACUAACAAGGAUUCCCCUAGUAACGGCGAGUGAAGCGGGAAGAGCUCAAAUUUGAAAUCUUAAAGGGAUUCCCUUUACGAAUUGUAGUUUAAAGAAGUGUUUUCUGUUGAGGUUUUGGUAAAAGUUCUUUGGAAUAGGACAUCAUAGAGGGCGAGAAUCCCGUAUUCGACCUUUACUUUCAACUUUGUGAUACACUUUCAAAGAGUCGGAUUGUUUGGGAAUGCAGUCCAAAAUGGGUGGUAAACUUCAUCUAAAGCUAAAUAUUGGCGAGAGACCGAUAGCGAACAAGUACCGUGAGGGAAAGAUGAAAAGAACUUUGAAAAGAGAGUUAAACAGUACGUGAAAUUGUCAAAAGGGAAGCGUUUGACACCAGUGUUGUUUUUCUGAAAAUCAAUUAAAGAACUGUUUAUGCUAAGCUGUUUAGACUUUAUCAGCUAUCUGUUUAGUUUUGAGCUUUUCUUUAAUGCACUUUUCAGUUAACAAGUCAACAUCAAUUUCUUUUGCUGUAAAAAAGCUUGAGGAAGGUGGCUUGAGAUUCGUCUUAAGUGUUUAUAGCCUCUUGCCUAUGCAGUCGGAGAGAUUGAGGUCUGCAGCGUAGAUCCUUCGGGGCUAAAUGCAUUUGUGCUAAGUUAUAGCAUUUUAUAGACAACUUGUUGACUAUGACUUGUCUUGUAGCUUACUCGCUUAUGUUAUUUUACCUACGCUUAGGAUGUUGACACACGCGCGUGCUC
rnacentral:rRNA from 1 species